rnacentral:rRNA from 1 species
UACAGAGGGGGCAAGCGUUGUUCGGAAUUACUGGGCGUAAAGGGCGCGUAGGCGGCCUUCUAAGUCGAACGUGAAAUCCCCGGGCUCAACCCGGGAACUGCGUCCGAUACUGGAAGGCUUGAAUCCGGGAGAGGGAUGCGGAAUUCCAGGUGUAGCGGUGAAAUGCGUAGAUAUCGGGAGGAACACCGGUGGCGAAGGCGGGUCUCUGGGCAGUAACUGACGCUGAGGAGCGAAAGCGUGGGGAGCGAACAGG